UGAGUAACGCGUGAGCAACCUGCCUUACGAGAGGGGGACAACAGUUGGAAACGACUGCUAAUACCGCAUGACCAUACCGAGAGGGCAUCCUUUGGUAUCAAAGAUUUAUCGCUGUAAGAUGGGGCUCGCGUAUGAUUAGAUAGUUGGUGACGGUAACGGCUCACCAAGGCGACGAUCAGUAGCCGGUCUGACGAGGAAUGAACGGCCACCAUUGGGACUGAGAUACGGCCCAGACUCCUACGGGAGGCAGCAGUGGGGAAUAAUUGGGGCAAUGGGGGAAACCCUGACCCAGCAACGCCGCGUGAAGGAAGAAGGCCUUCGGGUUGUAAACUUCUUUUAGCAGGGACGAAGAACGUGACGGUACCUGCAGAAAAAGCAACGGCUAACUACGUG
rnacentral:rRNA from 1 species